GACGAACGCUGGCGGCGUGCUUAACACAUGCAAGUCGAACGGACAGGCCCUGCUUUUGUUGGGUGCUCGUGUGGCGAACGGGUGAGUAACACGCGAGUAACCUGCCCUUGACUUUGUGAUAACUUCAGGAAACUGGGGCUAAUACCGGAUAGGAGCUCUUGCUGCAUGUUGGGGGUUGGUAAGUUUCGGCGGUUGGGGAUGGACUCGCGGGUUAUCAGCUUGUUGGUGGGGUAGUGGCUUACCAAGGUUUUGACGGGUAGCCGGCCUGAGAGGGUGACCGGCCACAAUGGGACUGAGAGACGGCCCAGACUCCUACGGGAGGCAGCAGUGGGGAAUAUUGCGCAAUGGGCGGAAGCGUGAUGCAGCAACGCCGCGUGCGGGAUGACGGCCUUCGGGUUGUAAACCGCUUUCGACUGUGACGAAGCGUGAGUGACGGUAAUGGGUAAAGAAGCACCGGCUAACUACGUG
rnacentral:rRNA from 1 species